rnacentral:rRNA from 1 species
UACAGAGGUCCCGAGCGUUGUUCGGAUUCACUGGGCGUAAAGGGUGCGUAGGCGGUUCUGAAAGUCUGAUGUGAAAUCUCCAGGCCCAACCUGGAAAUGGCAUUAGAAACUACAGGGCUAGAGGCUUGGAGGGGGAACUGGAAUGCUCGGUGUAGCAGUGAAAUGCGUAGAGAUCGAGCGGAACACCAGUGGCGAAGGCGAGUCCUGGACAAGUCCUGACGCUGAGGCACGAAAGCCAGGGGAGCAAACAGG